AGGCUCUAGGGUCAUUUGGCUCCAAUAUCUGUCACCCCAUUGAUCACCAGGGUUGAUGUGGCUGAUCUGGCUGGCUAGGCAGGAGUCUCCUAUCUCCUUCACCACCCUAUGUGUGACCUUCCUGCAGCUGUCCACUUGGGAGAAGAGGACAACCUUCCCCAAUAAAGGAGAACUGUUUCUGAUCAAGGGUAGCUGCACUCCCCUGCUGGAACCUCCAAACAAGCUCUCAGGGUCCAUUUGUAGAAAAACGUAGGUUGGUCAAGCUUCCAAGACUCCACAUACAUCCAAAUGAGGCACUGGAUGUGGCAGUCUGCCUUU
rnacentral:snRNA from 1 species